UAAACAGUUUUUUUCCUUCUAGCCAAUCAGCUGGGACUCAGGAGGCAGCAUUAGAUUGGGGGUGGGGCCAAAUAAAAGUGAACCAAAUUAAAACCAGCCUGCCUAUUACUGCAGAACAGAGUUCUGGUUCAGGAAUGAUGAUGAUGAUGAUGAAGAAUGCAGAAGACUUAUCCGCUACAAAAAGCAGCCCAUCUGAAAUUCCAGAUUUUGAUCUCAAAUCCAGGGACAACAUUUCAAGAGUGCAUAGGAAAAGACAUUAAAAACAAUUAUUCAGGCUUUAGUGUAUGCUCAAAAUAUUAAGGGCUUGGAUCCAGAGAAAGAGAAGCAUAUCCAUAUGUCCACUGGCAUCUGUUGCAAAACUGUCAUGAAGAAAAAUUGUGAAAUGUGCAUUGUGAUGUCACAACAUAAAUCCCAGCCUUUUGUAUUUCCAUCUCAAAAUUGGCUCCCAAUAUAUAAGUCACAGGUUUUCUGAUGUGACUCACCACGAACAUUUCAUCACUUAGCUCCUUUUGCCCUCCCCCAGUGGAGGUCAAUGCCUAUGUCUAGUGAAUGGAUAGACUGUCCUCCACAUGGAAAAAUCUUUAUAACGUCUGCAAGUAUCUUUAAGGAGAGAGAUUGAAAACAUGCACCACUGACCGCAUAUUUUUAAAGAUUACUAUUUUUUUAAAAAUAAAAAGUAUAAUUGC